CCUACGGGUGGCAGCAGUGGGGGAUAUUGCACAAUGGGGGAAACCCUGAUGCAGCGACGCCGCGUGGGUGAAGAAGCGCCUCGGCGCGUAAAGCCCUGUCAGCCGGGAAGCAAAUGACGGUACCUGAAGAAGAAGCCCCGGCUCACUACGUGACAGCAGCCGCGGUAAUACGUAGGGGGCAAGCGUUAUCCGGAUUUACUGGGUGUAAAGGGGGCGCAGGCGGGGAUGCAAGCCAGGAGUGAAAGCCCGGGGCCCACCCCCGGGACUGCUCUUGGAACUGCGUGGCUAGAGUGCAGGAGGGGCAGGCGGAAUGCGUGGUGUAGCGGUGAAAUGCGUAGAUAUCAGGAGGAACACCGGUGGCGAAGGCGGCCUGCUGGACUGCAACUGACGUUGAGGCCCGAAAGCGUGGGGAGCAAACAGGAUUAGAUACCCGAGUAGUC
rnacentral:rRNA from 1 species